GUAAGAUACAGUUUCAUUUGGCCCAGAAGUGAACAGUGAGAGAGCCAAGAAGAAUCCAACAUCGAAACUGUUUGAAAACACUGCUUUUGGAUAGAACGCUCUUCCUUCUAUGACAAGUAGAGAGUAAGGGGGAAAAAAUUAAUAUCACAAUGUGGGAGGCAAAUAGUCAGUGUAAAGAAAACAACUGUAUCCUGAGAACUAAAAGAAAAGCAUACCUCUGGAAAUUACUCUAUAGGAGACAUUUUUGCAUCCUUGGAGUAGAACCAAGUCGUUGGGCAGAGAAUAUAGAGGAUAUUGAAGAGAGACAACUGCAAAGAAACAGAACUUGUAAUGUCAGAAAUGUCUGUCUGAGAGAUAGUAAAUCAUGGAUUUGACAAGUGAAAUCAACAAACUUAAGACCAAACUUCAGAAACUGCAAGAAUGCAGUAAGAAAGGAUAAAGAGAGUGAGAAAACUGUAAAAGGAAAAUGACCAAUAUGGAAAAGUGAGAAUAAAGACUCAGUAAAAAAAUUCUGGAUACUUUUUAUAGAAGGAAAUAAGAGAUCCAUUUCAUUAAUGAUUAUUGGUAGAAAAAUCACACAUGAAAACCUUAAUAAAUUGUGCUCCCAGAGCAUCAAUUCCUUAGUUAGUAAACUUCCAAAUUCUCAAUCCAAAUCUAAAUUAAGAGUUUUUUGGAGGCCAAUUAUGAUAAAAUACUAAGAAAAAAUUUAUUAAAAAAUUCAAAAUAAGAUUUGGAUAGAUAUUUCUGGUCAGAAGAUUGGAUGCUCCAAGAUAUACAUUCUUCCUAUAUUAUGCUAUAAUUUAAAUAAUUUUAAUAAAAAUCCUAAUGGUAUGGGCUAAAGGGAAGCCUGAAAAAGCGAAUCUAACAUUUAUCUGGAAGCAGAAAUGGUGCAAGUAUCCAGGAUAUUUUUUAGAGUUAUUAUAAUAGACUGUAAUCAAAACAGCAUGAUGAUAGUAAAACUGAUAGGCAAAGAAUGAAGGGAAGAUGUCCUGGCACAAUUUAAUGAUUCUUUCUCUGCUAAUUUUGAACGCCAAAUUUAAUCAUAAACUCACCCCUCUACAUACACCAAAGUCUAUUUUUGGAAGAAGUGGUUAACCAUUUGAAAUAAAGUUGGCAUCAUUUCUCAAAGCAUAUGCCACAAUACAGAGACCAAAAGGACUAAAUAGUUAAACACACAAAAAGAAGCCAAAAUAAAAUGUCUAUGGAUAUAUCUCCGAUCUUGAGCUUGGUUUAGUGUGUCUACGUAUAAUGAGAUGGGGAAAAUUUUAUUCACCACAAUUCCAUUGAUGAAUGGAACUCAUUUGUUGGAGAAAGUUCACGAAGUAGAGAGGGAGGCAGGAGAGGGGGCUGAGUAAUAACCAUUGCUCUGUGGAAGACAAAGAGAAUUUCCUUGAUAUUCCGGGAAGGAGGAGAGGAGGAAGACAAAGAAAGGCAAAAAAGGGAAAAAGAAAAAAGAAGAGACAAAAGAAACAGGAAAAGGAAAGGAGGGAGGGGGGAGGAAGGGAAGAAGGAAGGAAGGAGAAAAAAAAGGCAUCAUAAUGUGUGUGGACGGGAAGAGGAAGUCUUGUCUAGAAGAAGCAAGACGCUGAACUGUUACCAACUAUGAAAUUGGUGUUUGGGCUGGUUUUCAGCAAUUCCUACAGGACAGGAAGUGCCUAUCAAGGAUCUGAGUUAUAUAAAAGCAGUGGAGAAAAUCUCAAAGAGAGGCAAUUGGUGGAUUUUCCAACAUAAGAUUAGACAUUUUUUUUUUACAUCGAGGGUCUGCAAACUACAACCCAUGGGCCAAAUCCAACCACACCCAUCAAUUUAUGUAUUAUCUCUCCCUGUUUUCCGGCAACUGGGCAGCGUUGAGUAGCUUUGAUAGAGAACAUAUGGCCUACAAAGUCUAAAAUAUUUACUGUCUGGCCCUUUAUAGAAAAACCUUGCUAAUAUAGCUCUGCAUAAAAACAUCAUAAUUAAAAGGCAAACAGCAAACUCAGAAACAAAAUGAAACAUGACACAAAUGUUCCAAAGCAAAGAAAAUGGACCUAACUCUAUAAAGGGCCCUUCCAGGUUUAUCGAACAACUUCCAUACCACAGGAGGCAGAGGACAUAAAUAUAGUUCACUGAAGAAAAAUACAAAGGUACCAGCGCAUGAACAGAAGGGAAUUUGGACUCCCAAGUAGGCCAUCAAAACCAGCCAAAUAAAUCACAGUCCUAUCAGUGUUUGGGGUAAGGAAGUCUCAGUGUAGAUGAUUUCAUAGACUAAUUUUUGGUUGGGGGUUCUGUUCUAAAGCAGUUUGGCAGUUUAUGUUUGAAUCUUAAACCUCCCCCCUCCCUCCAAAAAAAAAAAAAAGGUUAUGCCCCCCCUGAGAAAUUCCACUUCUGAGAAACCUUUUGCAGAUCCAUAGGCGUAAAGGUGAGCAUAUUUCCUGAAGGAAUAGUGUCCUUGGUCCACCUCGUACUAGCUGGGAUGGCUCUGUGUGAGCCACCAAACCUUGCUAAGCUUCCAUUUCAUUGUGGGUGAAAUGUGAAUUUAAAAAUAGUACCCUAAUUAAUUAAUUAAUAAAAAUAGUGCCCGAUCAUAGGGCUAGGAUGAAGGUCCAGUAAAACGGUCCAUGGACAUUUUUAUGAAAACAUAGAAUACAUGUCACAAAGUGGUAACCAUAUCAAAUCCCAAUGAUUUUUUAAAAAUGAAAUAAUGAAAAAAUUAGUAAAAUAAAAAUGAGAGCACCUCAGCUGGUCAUGUGUCCGACUCUUGAUUUUGUCUCAGGUCGUGGCUUUGGGGUUGUAGGAUCAAGCUCCGAGUGGGGCUCUGUGCUCGGUAAGGAAUCUGCAUGGGACUCCCUCUCUCCCUCUCCCUCUCCCCCUCCCCACCAUGCUCUUUCUCUCAUUCUCAAAUAAGUAAAUAAAUCUUUAAAAAAAUAAAAAUAA
rnacentral:lncRNA from 1 species